GACGGAGGUGGCUAGCGUUGUUCGGAAUGACUGGGCGUAAAGGGCGCGUAGGCGGUUUUUUAAGUGAGGCGUGAAAGCCCUGGGCUUAACUCAGGAGGUGCGUUUCAAACUGGAAAACUGGAGUACGAGAGAGGAAAGUGGAAUUCCUAGUGUAGAGGUGAAAUUCGUAGAUAUUAGGAAGAACACAAGUGGCGAAGGCGGCUUUCUGGCUCGUAACUGACGCUGAGGCGCGAAAGCGUGGGGAGCAAACAGG
rnacentral:rRNA from 1 species